GGGUGCUAUCCAGCAAAGGACAGGGAGGUAAGGCCCUGUCCUCGGAUAGAUAUCUGCUUCAUGGGAUUUUCAAUCUGAUAGGAGCAAUAGUUCCUAAUCCUGGGGUCUCUAGCCUGACAGGAAGACACCUGGUCUUUUUCCCCAGAAGAUCUCUGAGACUGAUGGGAAGGGGCGAGUCAAUAUCCUCUCAAGUACCUCACCUGAUGAAGGAGACUUGAUCUGACAUCAAUUUCCAGGAAGUUUCCAGGCUGUUAGAGGAAACGCAUUCUCAUCUGGAAAGCCGUCCAAAAUUCGGUGAAGACUUCCACUUGGCGUGAACCUCUCUUCAAGCACCAUUUCCUUACGUAUGAACACAUGCCGGUCUUGCCUGGACUGACCUUCCUGAAUGCAGAUUGGAAUGGUAAUUGAAAGAACUUUCAUGAUAUUAUUCAGUCUUUGCAUCAAGCAUGCCACUUAUUUAAUCUGCACAAGUGUCCUGCAAGAGAGACACUAGGAUCCCUGUCUGAAGCCUGUUCUCUUCCGCUGAUACUUCGCUGCUACCCCAGAACAAGCCUACUCCUCCCUCGGGGACAGAAGCAUCAUGACUGAGUCCUCCCCACUCUCCACUCCCAUCACUAGCCAUCAACAUCUCGGCCAGAGUUCCAGGCCCCUCUGCCUUGAUGACAAUGCUUGGGAAUUUCUUCAGUUGGUCAAUGACCUUCUUACACAGCUGUCCCCAGAACUGAACCUGGCAUUGAAAGUACUUUAA
rnacentral:lncRNA from 1 species